GCGACCGUCGCUCAGGAGACCCAUUUGCCUUCUAAGCCGAGGGUCGCAGGUUCGAAUCCUGCCGGGCGCG
rnacentral:tRNA from 1 species